CCUCAACACUCGGUCUAGAUACACUAUGUCUAUGGAUACGUAUCAAGCGACGCGGUAGUCACGGUACGCGGUAGCAUCGCGACGUCAAGAUAUAAUAAGGUUGAGGUUAUAAAGUUAUAUUUCAAUCUGUUGCAGAAAAUAUAUAUUUGGUCCUAUCGAGAUCAAUCUUUUCGAGAAGACUGGUAUACUUUCAGCUGGGAUCUUUUUGUAUAAAACCGUAUGCAAUCCCAGCUGAAGAACUUUGCUAAACAGCGUAACAUAUUGGGUUAUAGAGAUCUGGCAGUAACAGACAAUAGAGUGAAGUGAAAAAUAAUAUUAAUGCAUAGAAGAUCAUCAGUUUCAACCUAAAAACUUCUGGAACGGUUGCUGGUUCGAUAUAGACUGUAAGUUUUACUCCAAAUUCAGCAAACGCCGAAUUGAGAGAUAGCCUCAAAAUACAAAUACAUUAUUAUGAAGAUGGAAAUGUACAAUUGGUCAGCGAGAAGCAAACAGCGAAAGAUUUGAUACAUGCUGAUUGUAAAAUAUAGGAUGUAAGUCUACGUAUAGUAUGUAUAAUCAUAUAAGUCUAUCUACGUCUAGUAUGUAUAUCUAUAUAACAACGUAAUUCUACGUCUAGUAUGUAUAUCU